UCACGCCGUGAGGCCACGACCCCACCCCACCCACUGCCCGCCCAGGCGCCGCUCCGGAUCGAUUCCUCGGCUCGGCCCCAGACCACGUCCAGUCAUCGGUCAUCGCCCACGCACGUCUACGCCCUGGGCCCGCACGCCUGCCCUAAAACUGUCCCUGCCCUAGGUCACCCCCAACCAUGCCCCUAGCCCGGGCCAGGGGGCGCCUCGCCCCUAGACCUCGCUCCCACCCUUGUUCUGGCUGCUGCCCUAGACCGUCUCUUCCACGUUCUGGCCGCUUUCUGUCCGAGAUCUUAACCUCCGUCUCCAUUCCGCCCUCGCGCUCCUUCUCGACCCUACGUUCAACCUGUCCUCAAACGCCCCUCGGUUCCCGAACUUCUUUCCAGGCCACGCCCCCUCCCCGGCCCAGCCCCCGCCUUUGCCCAGGCCACGCCCCCAACCUCCGCGGGCUGGCUCCCGACUUCCGCCCGCGCCGGGGAGCCUCAGGGUCCCAGCAGGGUGAGGCGCCGAGGCCGUCCCCGGCCCACUCACCCCCAGACGUAGGCCCUGGAAGAAGUGCACGUCGGGCUGCGUGCUCUCGGGCUCCUGGCACACGAGCAGCAGCAGCGAGCAGCUCUGGCCCGGUGGCGUCACCGUAUCGCAACGCACGACGGCGCUCAGCGGGUACGACUCCAGCUCCUCCUGCGCGGGGGGACAGCGGGUCAGCUGAGGCCCGGAGCCGGAGCCGAGGGUACUCCUACGUGGCGGCAGCAGUGCCAGCAGGUACAGGCACUGCGCAGGGCAACCCCCGAGUUUGGGGGUUAGGGACGACACCCCUGUUUAACAGAUGAGGCUCUCAGGGCUCAACAAGGGGGCGGGGAUCCCUUGCCGAAGUUCCCAGAGGAGUCAGAAUUCACAUCCCUGGAGUCAGGCUCUUCAGGCCUCGGCCGGCUCAGUGCAGCCGCUCCUUCCACCCACGUGCCCCGUGGCACCUUGGAGUCCGGGUCGAGCAGCGUGAUGUGUUUGGAAGACACGCACAGCAGCAUCUCCUGGGCCCAGACGCGGCCUUGGCUGUCAAUGAGCGCCAGCUUCCGCGAGGCGUCCUCCACUGUGUGCAGGCCAUCCUCUUCACCCAGGCAGAAGGUCACCAGGUGCUGGCACGGGCCGCGGAGAAAGCAGUGAGUGCCAGGAUGAAGCCGGGGGCGCCGGGGCAUCCCCUGGAAUCAGCCUUCCAGCCUGCGACUAGCCCGACCUCCUCUGGGAAGCCCUCCAGCCAAACCACCUGCUGCACCUGUGGGGCCCAUCGCGGCCUCCAUCUGAGUGACAAGCGCCUGGGUCUAGCUAGAGGCUCCUUGAAGGCAGAGAAUGGUCUGGAUGAUAUCUAGUUCCUUCCAAGCAGCUCUAUCUCCUUUAGAGCACCAGGCACCUUUUGCUGGCACCUCUGGACCUUGUCUGACCCCCUGCUCCUCCAGGACUGCAUCUCAUUUGUCCCCGUGGUCCAGCUGUCCAGCGACAAGGGCUGGCCCAGAGGGAAACUCGCCUGCUUCAAGUGGAAUUGAGUUCCUCCCCUGGAUACCCACUUGGGAGGCAGGACGGAGGGCGUCCACUCUGCAGUUCACAUUCCACAUCUCGGCUGGAGAAUUCCGAAGACACAGAUCGGCUCAUGACCUUCCAUUGCUCAUUACUCCUCUGUGGCUCCCCAGUAACUUCUGAAUCAAAGCCAAGCUUCUCAGGCCGGUAUUUGACCUGGAAUCUGGCUCCAUCUUCCCACCACUCCGGCCUCAUUCCUUCCCCGCCUCCCACGACUUCCCCGCCCUCAACAUCUGCACACACCUGUGUGCUACCUUUUGCUGAAGCUGAUCCCACAGUGGGGAGCUCCCUUCCUGACCUGAGGAAAUCCUGUGUAUCCCUCUGGCUGUGAUCAACACCACUUCCCAGAGAAAACUUGCCCAGCAUCUAACAGAGGGCUCUUUUGCCUCCCAUGGGCUCUCAGGGUCCCUCCUCACCCCAUUGGAGCUGGGAGGUCAGCUACCUGCAAGGUUCCUGCCCUGUCUCAGGCAAAGCCCCGCCUCUCUCCCUUCCUGUAUUAAUUCCUUCUCAUCACCCUUCCCUGCUCUCUCUGCUCUGCCCCUCCUCCCUCCUUCCCGCCCUCCCUUCCUCCCGGUUUUGGAGCCGUGCUUGUGCUACUCUUAGCACCCGUACGAAGCAAACAAACCCAAAUUAAUUGGUCCAGUUACGAUGGCCAUGCAUCAAAUCAUUCCAAGACCUCCUGGACGGAGAGAAUGAAUUGGAAGCCCUCCGACGGGGGAGCGUUCUCUCAGCACCUGGGACAGCACCCAGCACGCAUCAGGACUUUAUUAGCAAGGUCAACAAUGAUAAAGCUGCGGAGUCUUGGGUGCGUCUGGGAAUCAAGUAGGAGGUCCUCGGAGGAAGGGAUUUGCCUGCAUUGUUCUCUUGAUAAUAAGAGAAGCCGUCAAGGCACUGGGGGUUAGGUCCUUGUCAUGAAUUACUUUCUUUCAAAAAUUGUUUUGCUGUAGUUGAUUUACAUUGUUCUGUCAAUUUCUGCUGUGUAGCAAAGGGACCCAGUCAUACAUCUGUACACUCUCUUUCUCGAAUUAUCAUCCAUCAUGUUCCAUCACAAGGAAUGGGACAUAGUUCUCCGUGCUGCCCAGCAGGACCUCAUUGCAUAUCCGUUCUUAAUGUAACACUUUGCAUCUCUUAACCUCACACUCCCAGUCCAACCCACUCCCUUUCCCUCCUCCUUGGCAACCACAAGUCUGUUUUCCAUGCCUGUGAGUCUGUUUCGUUUCUGUGGAUAGGUUCGUUUGUGCCAUAUUUUAGAUUCCACAUAUAAGUGAUAUCAAAAGAUAUUUGUCUUAUUUCACUUAGUAUGAGAAUCUCUAGUUCCAUCCAUGUGGCUGCAAAUGGCAUUAUUUUUAUUUUGUUCUAUUUUAUGGCUGAGUAGUAUUCCAUUGUGUAUAUGUCCCACAUCAUCUUUAUCCAUUCCUCUGUCAUUGGACACUUGGGUUGUCUCUAUGUCUUGGCUAUUGUGAAUAGUGCUGCAAUGCAUUACUUUCCUUUUUUUUGGUUGUUCUUCCGAUUUACUUCUUUACAAAGAGAAAAUAAUAUUUCCUAUGAUAGUGUCAGGUUAUACAGGCUCCUUAAUAAUAUAACAUAGAAUUACCCUUAUCAAUAUAUCUACUUACUUAGUUAUUGUUGUCAAAACUGACCCUGCAAUCAGAAACAUUGUAACAGACUAUAUUAUAUUAUUUCUCUAGAUUACAGUGUAACAAGAUAUUAAAAUAUGCAUACUAGGGAUAUGAAGUAAUGUUAUGUAAAUAAAAAUAAAAUGAAAAUGAUGCAAUUAUAUCAAUUAUCAUGGAAAAAUCAUAUAGGUAUAUUGUUGAGAGGAAGAAAGAGCCUGGAAAUAUAUUAAAUGCAAUGACUUACUUUCGGUCAUCCUUCCAAACUCUGUGACAGGGGCCAGCAAACUUUGGCCCCCCUGCUUGUUUUUGUAAAUAAAGUUUUAUUGGAACACA